rnacentral:snoRNA from 1 species
CUGCUUCUAGAGGCCUUGCAGGUGUGGUUGCUGUGUCACAUGUGCGUCAGUAGGUGGCAGAGGAGAGAGAGGCUGUGUCCACGCUCUGUUCUGACCCAUGAACUUCAUAGACUGACCUU